GAUGAACGCUGGCGGCGUGCCUAAUACAUGCAAGUCGAACGAAACUUCUUUAUCACCGAGUGCUUGCACUCACCGAUAAAGAGUUGAGUGGCGAACGGGUGAGUAACACGUGGGCGACCUGCCCAAAAGAGGGGGAUAACACUUGGAAACAGGUGCUAAUACCGCAUAACCAUAGUUACCGCAUGGUAACUAUGUAAAAGGUGGCUAUACUACCGCUUUUGGAUGGGCCCGCGGCGCAUUAGCUAGUUGGUAGGGUAAAGGCUUACCAAGGCAAUGAUGCGUAGCCGAAUUGAGAGGUUGAUCGGCCACAUUGGGACUGAGACACGGCCCAAACUCCUACGGGAGGCAGCAGUAGGGAAUCUUCCACAAUGGGCGAAAGCCUGAUGGAGCAACGCCGCGUGGGUGAAGAAGGUCUUCGGAUCGUAAAACCCUGUUGUUAGAGAAGAAAGUGCGUGAGAGUAACUGUUCACGUUUCGACGGUAUCUAACCAGAAAGCCACGGCUAACUACGUG
rnacentral:rRNA from 1 species